GCAGCCGCCGCGGUAAUACGAAGGGGGCUAGCGUUGUUCGGAUUUACUGGGCGUAAAGCGCACGUAGGCGGACUUUUAAGUCAGGGGUGAAAUCCCGGGGCUCAACCCCGGAACUGCCUUUGAUACUGGAAGUCUUGAGUAUGGUAGAGGUGAGUGGAAUUCCGAGUGUAGAGGUGAAAUUCGUAGAUAUUCGGAGGAACACCAGUGGCGAAGGCGGCUCACUGGACCAUUACUGACGCUGAGGUGCGAAAGCGUGGGGAGCAAACAGGAUUAGAUACCCCUGUAGUCCCUGUCUCUUAUAC
rnacentral:rRNA from 1 species